rnacentral:tRNA from 1 species
AUUUAAAUAGUUUAUUCAAAAUUUUAAUUUGUGGAAUUAAAGAUGUGAUUUUCACUUUAAAUA